GACGUAGGGUCCGAGCGUUGUCCGGAAUUAUUGGGCGUAAAGAGCUCGUAGGCGGUUUGUCGCGUCUGCUGUGAAAACCCGAGGCUCAACCUCGGGCCUGCAGUGGGUACGGGCAGACUAGAGUGCGGUAGGGGAGAUUGGAAUUCCUGGUGUAGCGGUGGAAUGCGCAGAUAUCAGGAGGAACACCAAUGGCGAAGGCAGAUCUCUGGGCCGUAACUGACGCUGAGGUGCGAAAGCGUGGGGAGCAAACAGG
rnacentral:rRNA from 1 species